rnacentral:rRNA from 1 species
CCUACGUGUGGCAGCAGUGGGGAAUAUUGCACAAUGGGGGAAACCCUGAUGCAGCGACGCCGCGUGAGUGAAGAAGUAAUUCGUUACGUACAGCUCUAUCAGCAGGGAAGCACAUGACGGUACCUGAGUAAGAAGCCCCGGCUAACUACGUGCCAGCAGCCGCGGUAAUACGUAGGGGGCAAGCGUUAUCCGGAUUUACUGGGUGUAAAGGGGGCGUAGACGGGGCGCCAAGUCUGGAGUGAAAUGCCGGAGCUUAACUGCGGAACUGCUUUUGAAACUGGAGGACGAGAGUGCGGGAGAGGUAAGCGGAAUUGCUAGUGUAGCGGUGAAAUGCGUAGAGAGUAGGAGGAACACCUGUGGCGAAGGCGGCUUACUGGACCGUAACUGACGUUGAGGCGCGAAAGCGUGGGGAGCAAACAGGAUUAGAUACCCCUGUAGUC